GAGUGAGACCAAUCUGACUAUAUCUGACACCCACUGAUUGUUAUGGUUAAUUCCACUUAUCUACUUGGUUCUUCAGAUAUCUCGAUCCUCCCUCAUCAUUGCAUAAUUGCCUCCUAAUAAAUCAUGAUUUUGGUCAAAUAGGGUGACUUUCCCAUUUAGAAAAGGACUAAGGACUCAAGUCAAGGGCAGGUGAAUGCAGUAGUUGUACUAUUUCACUGUAUCAUAUACGUGAAUAAUAG
rnacentral:snRNA from 1 species